ACGAGGGAGCUUUUGGCCUUCGUUGCUGCGCUGACCGAGCGACCGGCGAGUGAUUUCGAUGAUGAAUUCCGACUCUGGAUACUGGCUGAAGAUCGUGAGAUUCCUUCAACUUUGGCCAAUACCUGCGUUCAUGUCGUUCUCGAAUCCCCGGAGGGUGUAAAGCGCAACGCAUGCAGCACGCUGAGCGCGUGGACAGGCACGCGCGAACCAGUGCCCGUAGCGCGUUUUCUUGUCGGCCUCGCGCUAUUUCAUGCCCUUGCACAGGAGCGCCGCGCAUAUAUCCCACAAGGCUGGAGCCGCUGGUACGAGUGGGAGUGGGGC
rnacentral:misc_RNA from 1 species